AUCACAGGUGAGCCUUCCAAUUCUGGAUUGUAGUUCAUUCCAGGUAUAGUCAAGUUGACAACCAGGAAUAGCCACCGCACCCACUUUCUCUUGGCCUCCCCUUCCACACUUCCCACAAGUUUGACAAGUGUUGUCAAAUGUCGCCUUGCAUCAGCAGGAUUCUGCAGGUCUGUCUUUGAGUUAUUUGGGGGUACCCCUCAUCUUCCUCAAUGUCUUCCUCUCUUACCUAAUUCUUUUCCUAAUUUUACUGUGCCAGAUGGCCUGGCUACCCACAGUGUUUCCCUGGAGGCCUUGCUUGCUGAAUGUCAGGCUCCCAGUAGUCUCUGACUUCUCCCGUGAGCCGUUCGUCACUAUAGGAAACUCUCCUUCCUUGGCUCUGCACAGAAGAACAAAUGAUUAGUUAAUGAAGUGUGCCUGAAGCUAUGAGUAUCUGCACCCCAAGGUGAAUUUUAGAACUCUUCUCUGCUACUGGAUGCUAUUGGAGGGGAUCAGGAACCAAGGUUGGGGCCACUGAGGAGGAAGUGGCUUUGGUAGGCUUGAGCAGCUUUCAAUGACAGAAGCUUGGGGAGAGAAUAGUCUUCCCUUAGGAUGUUACAGCUCAAUGAAACAGGCACUCUCAGAUGGUUUUUGAUCAAAUAACUCAUACAUUUCAUUCCUUGUGGAUAGGAUCUUAAACACAUACUAGGGUGGGUUGGGGUCUAAAGGCAAAUGUUUUCUCUCGGCUUGGUCUGAGCUAUUAGGAAUGUCUCAGCUGUAUGUGGAGGGGCUUCGGUGUUGCCCCUAUGUGACUGAUUGUCACAGUUCUCUCUAUGGGGUGUCGUGAUCACAUGUUCCAGGACAGGAACCUGGUUGGCCGGGAGUAGAUUUAAACACCUCCUACCAUUCUCAAUUAUAAAAAUUCCUGGAGUUCCUGAAUCUGCUUGACCUUACCAGGUUUUCUGUCUGGUGGCAAGGGCCACUGCCCCACACCUCCCUCUAAUCCUGCUCAUGUUUCAGCAAAAGCUUCAUCUUAGACAGAUGGGUCCUCCCCACCUGAACUCUGACAUCCUCUGACCAUGCCCUUGAGACCUCAGUGUUAUUGUCUCCCCCAGGUCCAUGUUCUACUAGCAAAAGACAAAUAGCUGACAUGGAGGGCAGGGAGAAGAUGCCCUGCUGGCCACGGAGCUGAAGGCUUAAAGUGACAGCGCAUUCAAGGCUGUGGGAAGGGCCUCAGCUAGCCUCUCAGUCUUUCUAGAUGAGGAAAUUGGUGCUUAAAGAAGCCACUCACCAUACCUAACAACCCCCAGUGAGCUAUCAGUAAAUGGCAUUUCACCAAUGUUGUAGGUCAUCCACAGAGGCCUGUAGACCAUAAAGUGAACUGACAGAGCUGUGCUUGUGUGGUAUACAGAGGCAUCCUCUUUGCUCUGGGGCUGGUCCACUCUGCUUUCACAUUUUACUUGCACAUUUGGUGCUGAUUGCAGAUUCCAAGGGGAUUCACCUGGACCAUCACCCUGGCCUUGACCUCCAUGGCUUAUCUGCACAUGCAUCAUCCACACUGGUUUCCACUUUCCCCUUCUGGGUAUGGCUCGUGAACCAGGAGACCCAGAAGUAUUUUUCAGUGGUCUUUUUGAAAACUACUUCCAUAUCAGAUGUUGGAAGCCAGUAAGGAGGAACCUGGGAAGGGAGGGAAGUGAGAUAGGGUCACUGUAGGGACUGGGGCAUGGGGAGGGAGACAAGAUAGAACAGGUUGAGGGUAGAGAACAUAACUAGAAUACAAUGACAUUUCUUUAAAAGUUUUUUUUUUGUGUGGUGUUGGAGAUUGGGUCUAAGGUUUUGAUUCCAUUAGGAAUCUGCAUGUCCAGACACUGAUGGUCCUUGUCCCCAACUGGUUUUUGAUCUAUCAAUAAAGAUGCCAAUGGCUAAUAGUUGGGCACAAGGCGGGACACUUAGAGUUGUUCAGGUAGGAUGCAGAAAGGAAGAUCACCAUGACUUGAGGAAGAAAGAUGGGAUGCAGGAGCAGCAGGAGAUAAAGUCAACCAUCCAUGUGAGAUUUCAGGGUGUGAGCCACCACAGCCAGUAGCAAUGGAUAAUCUUUUGGGAGUGUCCUGCUUCUAGAAGGAUCAGUAACCUCACCCCAGAAGACCUGUGCUUUGCCCUUCCUCCAUCUGUUUUUUAAAAAAAAAUAAGAUGAAGAGGAGGAAGAGGAGGA